GUUGCUAGAAAGACACCCGAAGGCGGGCGAGCUUAUCUUGAACAGGUUGAAGAGCGGUUCAUUUCCGCGUUGGAGGACCGAACCCGUGUACGUGGUAAUGUGCUGGGAUGAUUUGAGAUAAGGCCAGUGAAAGGCUAAUCAAGCCCGCGACAUGCUGGUUUUUGGCGAAAAGCAUUACGGUGCACUGUGAUCUUUGUUGUAUCCGUCGUGUUCAGGGAGAUCCAAGGGGGAGGGCGGGUCUAAGCUGCGACUCUCCUAUGGAAACCGUCAAGUACGACGUUAUCGAGAUCAUGGACAGACCAUGGGCGCUAAGGUCCGUGGUCGAGAGGGAAACAGCCCAGAAAGCUCGUUAAGGUCCCUAAGCGUGGGCUCAGUGUGAACGGUAGUAUACUUUGUAUAUCUUAUUCUUAAAAAGAAUGAGCUUCUCUCACUAACACAAUCGAAGAUUGUGUAGAUUGCAAUCUUUGAUUGCAAUCCAUCUCUGAUGGUGAAAAGAGCAAUUGAGCAAAGACUGCCAGCAAAUAGGCUUGGAAGCAGCCAACUUGGAAUGAUAGCGUAAUAGCUCACUGGCAUAGUUUAUAUGCGCCCAACAUGAACGGGGCUUCAGCUCACC
rnacentral:rRNA from 1 species